GCUUUGAUGGUGUAAUUGGUAAGCACAACAGACUUCACAUCUGUGAGUACGGGUUCAUGACCUGCCUAGGGUU
rfam:Dictyocaulus viviparus strain HannoverDv2000 D_viviparus-1.0_Cont717.4, whole genome shotgun sequence.